rnacentral:tRNA from 1 species
GUUGGCUCAGUCAGUAGAGCGUCCGCCUCACAACCGGGAGGUCGUGGGUUCGAACCCCGUUAACA